rnacentral:rRNA from 1 species
GACGAACGCUGGCGGCGUGCUUAACACAUGCAAGUCGAACGAAGAGCGAUGGCAGCUUGCUUCUAUCCAUCUUAGUGGCGAACGGGUAAGUAACGCGUAAUCAACCUGCCCUUCAGAGGUGGACAACAGUUGGAAACGACUGCUACUACCGCAUACUAUCUCUUCUCGGCGUCGAGUGUAGAUGAAAGGUGGCCUCUACAUGUAAGCUAUCACUGCAGGAGGUGAUUGCGUCUGUUUGGUUCGUUGGAGGGGUAACGGCGCACGACGGCGAUGAUCAGGAGACGGUCGGAGAUGAUGAGCGGCCGCAUUGAGAGUGAGACACGGCCCAGACGCACACGGGAGGCAGCAGGAGGGAAUCGGGCGGAAUGGGUGAAAGUCAGACGGAGCAACGCCGCGUGAGGGAUGAGGACCUUCGGGUGGGAGAGCACUGUUAACCGGGACGAAAGGGCUUCUUGCGGUGAGUGAGAAGGAUUGACGGUACCGGAUUAGAAAGCCACGGCUAACUACGUG